UUUGCCAGCAACUCUCACAGCCCAUUCCCCCACUGUCUCUCUUGAAUGUACUUAGAUAAUCUUCACAUUAUGGAAAAAAGUAAAUUUUGUAAGUUUUGUGAUCAAUUUAACUAUAGAUAUUUAUUAUCCUAUAAGUCAUCUAUUUUUGUAACUACCUGUGGUCUGUCAUUUAUUUCUAACUCAUGUUUCUUGCUAAUUAUGGUAAUAGGAAGGGAGACCUAGAUUAGAAACUUAAUUUGUACUCUUCAGCUAAUCUGUGAAUAUAAAAACUAUACUUGUAUUCCACCCUGGUGCU